GGUCUUCGGGAUUAUGGUCGAAGCAGAGUAGAUGAAGACCCAACAGCCAUUUUCCUGAUUGACCGAAGAGGGUACUCCGCCCUAUUGGUCUUCGGGAUUAUGGUCGAAGCAAAGUAGAUGAAGACCCAACAGCCAUUUUCUUGAUUGACCGAAGAGGGUACUCCACCCUAUUGGUCUUCAGGAUUAUGGUCGAAGUAAAGUAGAUGAAGACCCAACAACCAUUUUCUUGAUUGACCGAAGUGGGUACUCCGCCCUAUUGGUCUUCGGGAUUAUGGUCGAAGCAGAGUAGAUGAAGACCCAACAACCAUUUUCUUGAUUGAUCGAAGAGGGUACUCCACCCUAUUGGUCUUCGGAAUUAUGGUCGAAGCAGAGUAGAUGAAGAUCCAACAGCCAUUUUCCUGAUUGAUCGAAGAAGGGUAUUCCGCCCUAUUGGUCUUCGGGAUUAUGGUCGAAGCAGACCCAGAAGUCGCACUCCUGAGAAUCCACUGAGGGCACACCGCCCUGUGGAUACUUGUCUUCGGGGAAAUCCAUCUAAAGUUGCAGCUUCAGAUGGAAAGCAGCUGAGGAGUCCGACAAAGCCGUUGCAGUACUUCAGCAGAAGCAGAGCUCGUGGACAUUGCAUGCAGAUGGAUAUUCUAUUUCGGACAUCAGUACAGCAGGCUAUCAAGGGGUCGAUCACAAUAACAAUUCCAUUGCUGAUGCAUUAUCGAAGUUGGCUACUACGGAUGCUUAUAACUUUGAUGGCAUAUGGCGUCCUUCCUUCAGAUCAGAUGCCGGCUAAAGAAGAUCAAGUAUAAGAGUGUCAAUUUUGUUCUCAUUAAUGAGAAUCUUUUUCGAAGGUCCUUUUUCGUCACCAUUGCUCAAAUAUUUGGUUCCGUCCGAAGCAGAGUAUGUUCUUCGGGAAGUUCACAAAGACAUCUGUGGCGAUCAUUUGGCUGC
rnacentral:lncRNA from 1 species